AUGGGAGCUCCGUUCCCAGCAGAGCAGCACCAAAAACCACUGUUUGAGAACCAUUUGGUCAACGCCCUCAGAAGCCAAGUUUCAUUUUUGGGUGUACUGCCUGGAGCCAGGAGCUGGAUGCAGCGAUCCCUAUGGAUCCAGCUUGGGGUGCUCUACAGAAGGGCCAAGAACCUCGUGCUGCCUGCAGAGGUCCUCAGGGCACCUUCACCACUUCCAGCAGUGUCCGUCCAUCCACCCGCCCGUCCCUCCAGGCCGUCUGUCCGUCCGUCCAUCCGCCGUAACCACAAGGUGGCAAUGCAGCCCCGGCCACAGCCGCCUCCCAUCGGUUCACGCCGUUCCCAUCCCGCUGUCGAAGCUCCGCUCUGCCCAGCGCUCCCAGCACCGCCCAGGAUUGGGGCAGGGACCCAGGAGCAGCGCUGCUGUCCUGGAGGAGGGAUUCCCCCAAGGCUGCAGCUGUCACACAGCCUUAACGAGAUCACUUUUUCCACGAUCCCCUCAUUGAAUCGCUGCAGGAAGGGCUUUCUUGAGCAAAAAACUCCGCUCCUGCUGCCGGGUGAAGGUGGGAGGAGAGGUGCACACCCCCACGGCUUUUGUCACUCCUGUACUCCUAAUACCUGCACAGCCCAUGGAGGGCAGACCCCAAAAACCUGGUGUCAUGGUUUUGUGAUUUUGUUGUGUUGGCACCUGGGCACGACGGGGUCAGACCAAGCAAAGGUGCAAAGUGCAAACAGCUCCUGCACAGAUCAGACCUGUGUGCACACAGCAGGAGCAAUCAGCAGAGCAAAGCACUGCAGGAGGAGGAGGAGCAGCACAAAGGCUCCCGUACCUCCAGCACAGAGAAACAUCACCACCCAAUGCCCCACAGAGGGAGCACCUCGGCAUUUGCAGCGUGCCCCUCACACCCGUACAUUUGCAGAGCUGCGCUUGCACCCGUGCGUUUCCAAUGUCCUGCUCAGACCUUUGCAUUUGCAAAGCAACCCUGACACCUGUGCACUUGCAACACUCACACCUCCUCCUCCUCAAACUGCCUUUAAUGAGGGGACAGGGAACACCUGGGUCCCCCCUCCCCCACAAGCUGCCUCAAAUGAGGACUGGGCACACCUGGACCCAAGUGGAAGGGAUGGGCAGAGCUGGGCCCCAACUGCCUCUAAGAAGGGGAUGGGUACAAAUGUCCCCCACCCCCCCACCCCCAGGCUGUCCCCUAUUAAUGGGACAGGGCACACCUGGACCCUCCAGCUGUCCCCAGGCAACGGGACCCACCCUAAACCACCCCUAACAAGGGAUGGCACACACCUAGACCCCAACCCACUGUGCCUCAUUGCGAUGCUUUCUCCCCCUGCAGUGCCCCCCACAUCCCUCUGUCCCCCACAAUGUCCCCCCAUGCCCCCAGCCACCCGUACCCCCCAUUUUGGGGCUGAAAAUGAUGGGGCUGGGCAAAAGCUGGUGCCAAAACCACGGGAUCUCCGGAGGGUUUUCGUGUAA
rnacentral:lncRNA from 1 species